UACGGAGGGAGCUAGCGUUGUUCGGAAUUACUGGGCGUAAAGCGCGCGUAGGCGGCCCGGUAAGUCCGCUCUGAAAGUCCAGGGCUCAACCCUGGAAAGCGGGUGGAUACUGCCGGGCUAGAAUCCGGAAGAGGCGAGUGGAAUUCCUGGUGUAGCGGUGGAAUGCGCAGAUAUCAGGAAGAACACCCGUGGCGAAGGCGGCUCUCUGGGACGGUACUGACGCUGAGACGCGAAGGCGUGGGGAGCGAACAGG
rnacentral:rRNA from 1 species